rnacentral:rRNA from 1 species
AGGGAAUCUUCCACAAUGGACGCAAGUCUGAUGGAGCAACGCCGCGUGAGUGAAGAAGGUCUUCGGAUCGUAAAGCUCUGUUGUUGGUGAAGAAGGAUAGAGGCAGUAACUGGUCUUUAUUUGACGGUAAUUAACCAGAAAGUCACGGCUAACUACGUGCCAGCAGCCGCGGUAAUACGUAGGUGGCAAGCGUUGUCCGGAUUUAUUGGGCGUAAAGCGAGCGCAGGCGGAAUGAUAAGUCUGAUGUGAAAGCCCACGGCUCAACCGUGGAACUGCAUCGGAAACUGUCAUUCUUGAGUGCAGAAGAGGAGAGUGGAACUCCAUGUGUAGCGGUGGAAUGCGUAGAUAUAUGGAAGAACACCAGUGGCGAAGGCGGCUCUCUGGUCUGCAACUGACGCUGAGGCUCGAAAGCAUGGGUAGCGAACAGGAUUAGAUACCCUGGUAGUCCAUGCCGUAAACGAUGAGCGCUAGGUGUUGGGGACUUUCC